UACGAAGGGGGCUAGCGUUGUUCGGAAUCACUGGGCGUAAAGCGCACGUAGGCGGAUCUUUAAGUCAGGGGUGAAAUCCCGAGGCUCAACCUCGGAACUGCCUUUGAUACUGGGGAUCUCGAGUCCGGGAGAGGUGAGUGGAACUGCGAGUGUAGAGGUGAAAUUCGUAGAUAUUCGCAAGAACACCAGUGGCGAAGGCGACUCACUGGCCCGGAACUGACGCUGAGGUGCGAAAGCGUGGGGAGCAAACAGGG
rnacentral:rRNA from 1 species